GUGCCAGCCGCCGCGGUUAUACCGGCAGCUCGAGUGAUGUCCAAUAUUAUUGGGCCUAAAGCGUCCGUAGCUGGCCGCGCAAGUCCGUCGGGAAAUCCACCUGCCCAACAGGUGGGCGUCCGGCGGAAACUGUGUGGCUUGGAACCGGAAGGCUCAGAGGGUACGUCCGGGGUAGGAGUGAAAUCCCGUAAUCCCGGACGGACCACCGAUGGCGAAAGCAUCUCGAGAAAACGGAUCCGACAGUGAGGGACGAAAGCUAUGGUCUCGAACCGGAUUAGAAACCCCAGUAGUCC
rnacentral:rRNA from 1 species